GGUACAGAAAGGCUGAAAGCAUUCCCUCCAUUGAGCCACGAUAGGGAUGAAGAGAGCUGCAGAGAGAGAUGGAGGGAAGGCCCACCUGCUGUCUGAUGGCACCGGAGAUCAUAGGCCAUGUGAAUGAACUUGGAAGCAGAUCCUCCUUGUUGGCUAUUGGCUGGAGACACCACUUCCUUGCCAUGUAGGCCACUCCAGAAGGGCUGAAUUCUUGGUUGUAAGUGACAGAAAGCUAGCUGAAACUACCUUUGAUCAGAAGGAGGAAUUCCUAUGUUGGUAUACCUGAAGAACGAGACGAAUCUUUCAACUGGAAUCAUCAUAACUGUUAGCUUUAUUGUCUCACAUAGGUUUCUUUUAGGACCCUGGUUGCUGGAAGCUCUGGCUCACACUGUUAUUACUUCAGUCACA